GGCCCGCUGGCCAAAUGGUAAGGCGUCUGAUUUCGGUUACUGAAAUCAUAAACUCAGAAGAUUGUGCGUUCGAGCCGCACGUGGGUCG